rnacentral:rRNA from 1 species
ACGUUAAUCGGGGCAGGGUGAGUCGACCCCUAAGGCGAGGCCGAAAGGCGUAGUCGAUGGGAAACGGGUUAAUAUUCCCGUACUUGGUGUUACUGCGAAGGGGGGACGGAGAAGGCUAUGUUGGCCGGGCGACGGUUGUCCCGGUUUAAGCGUGUAGGUGUGUGUUCCAGGUAAAUCCGGUUCACUUUAACACUGAGGCGUGAUGACGAGGCACUACGGUGCUGAAGCAACAAAUGCCCUGCUUCCAGGAAAAGCCUCUAAGCAUCAGGUAACAUCAAAUCGUACCCCAAACCGACACAGGUGGUCAGGUAGAGAAUACCAAGGCGCUUGAGAGAACUCGGGUGAAGGAACUAGGCAAAAUGGUGCCGUAACUUCGGGAGAAGGCACGCUGACACGUAGGUGAAGUGAUUUACUCAUGGAGCUGAAGUCAGUCGAAGAUACCAGCUGGCUGCAACUGUUUAUUAAAAACACAGCACUGUGCAAACACGAAAGUGGACGUAUACGGUGUGACGCCUGCCCGGUGCCGGAAGGUUAAUUGAUGGGGUCAGCGCAAGCGAAGCUCCUGAUCGAAGCCCCGGUAAACGGCGGCCGUAACUAUAACGGUCCUAAGGUAGCGAAAUUCCUUGUCGGGUAAGUUCCGACCUGCACGAAUGGCGUAAUGAUGGCCAGGCUGUCUCCACCCGAGACUCAGUGAAAUUGAACUCGCUGUGAAGAUGCAGUGUACCCGCGGCAAGACGGAAAGACCCCGUGAACCUUUACUAUAGCUUGACACUGAACAUUGAGCCUUGAUGUGUAGGAUAGGUGGGAGGCUUUGAAGUGUGGACGCCAGUCUGCAUGGAGCCGGCCUUGAAAUACCACCCUUUAAUGUUUGAUGUUCUAACGUGGACCCGUGAUCCGGGUUGCGGACAGUGUCUGGUGGGUAGUUUGACUGGGGCGGUCUCCUCCUAAAGAGUAACGGAGGAGCACGAAGGUUGGCUAAUCCUGGUCGGACAUCAGGAGGUUAGUGCAAUGGCAUAAGCCAGCUUGACUGCGAGCGUGACGGCGCGAGCAGGUGCGAAAGCAGGUCAUAGUGAUCCGGUGGUUCUGAAUGGAAGGGCCAUCGCUCAACGGAUAAAAGGUACUCCGGGGAUAACAGGCUGAUACCGCCCAAGAGUUCAUAUCGACGGCGGUGUUUGGCACCUCGAUGUCGGCUCAUCACAUCCUGGGGCUGAAGUAGGUCCCAAGGGUAUGGCUGUUCGCCAUUUAAAGUGGUACGCGAGCUGGGUUUAGAACGUCGUGAGACAGUUCGGUCCCUAUCUGCCGUGGGCGCUGGAGAACUGAGGGGGGCUGCUCCUAGUACGAGAGGACCGGAGUGGACGCAUCACUGGUGUUCGGGUUGUCAUGCCAAUGGCACUGCCCGGUAGCUAAAUGCGGAAGAGAUAAGUGCUGAAAGCAUCUAAGCACGAAACUUGCCCCGAGAUGAGUUCUCCCUGAGACUUUAGGUCUCCUGAAGGAACGUUGAAGACGACGACGUUGAUAGGCCGGGUGUGUAAGCGCAGCGAUGCGUUGAGCUAACCGGUACUAAUGAACCGUGAGGCUUAACCUUACA